AUUCGUAUCUUGAUUGUGGUCCAUUAAAAAGGAGAUGAAAGAAAUAAUACAUUAAAGAGGAAGCACUCAGUACGCUGACAUAUAGCGUAGCUUCUUUAUUUCUUUUUAUUCUUUAUGAUCAGAUUACGUCUGAAUUCUAAUGAAAUCUUUCGUUUAAAGGUUAAGUGAGUUAUAUUUAUGGAGUGAAAUAAAAAAAAGAAAGACGAAUAGCGGUAAAACUCCAUCUGAUAUUGUUUUGAGAACUGUUAGAGCAGUGAAAAUACAUAAUUUGUCCAUCGACAAGCCGCUUUAGAAUAAAAUGCGAAUUACCGUACUUUAUAUCGUUACUGCAAGAGGAUUCCAGAAGAGGAUUAUUUACAUAAAAACGUUGUUCCAACAAUUCAUUCUUUCUCCUAAAGAAAUCAGAAUUUUCGCUUAUAAUCUAGCCUGCUAUAACUCAAUUGAAAUGCCUCCGUCUUGGUAUAUAAAUAAAAUGGCAGGAAAGGAUUGGUUUUAUGCAGUUACAGUAAACUUUCGAUUCGAAAACCAGAAGCAACACUUAAAGCAAGAAUUACCUGCAGCUUCAAUAAAGCUAAUAUUUCCCCUCUUUUACACAAAUUUGAAAAAGAUUUUGUCACAUCACUAUUUUAAUCCUUAAGACAUGGAAUAUAGAUGAAAUAGGAGUUACAACAGUUCAGAUACCAGAUAGAAUAUUUACUCAGGAAAGCAACAUUGCUACAAGGAAAUUCAUCUGGAUAAAGUGGUACUGCAAAUAAAUUAGGUUGGAUGCAAAAAAAAGAUUUUGAACAAUUUUUGAGAGACUUUCAUAAUUAUGCAAAAUGUAUAACUGAGAAACCAGUUUUAUUGCUAUUGGACAAUCACAAUUUGCAUCUCAAUAUUGAAGGAAUAAAUUAUGCAAAACAAAACAGAAUUGUAAUGUUAUUUUUUCCACCGUAUUGUUCGCAUCAGUUGCGACUAUUAGAAUAGUAUAUAGAUCAUUAAAAAAAUACAUCAACUCUGUUUGUGAUCCAUGGAUGUUAAACCAUCCUGAUCGCAACAUAUCUAUUUAUAAUAUUCCCACAGUUGCUUAUCCACUUGCUAUGACAUCAGCAACUAUUCAAGCAGGUUUUAAACGCAUUGACAUAUUUUACUUUAAUAAGGAAAUUUUUAUGAACUUUGCUUCAAGUUAAAUUACAGAUAGGCUACUUUCUGAGGAAAAUAGGUUAGUAUAAAAUAUUAAUAAUGUGGUAUUAAUAUAAUUAGUGUAAAGUUAAUGUAAUGAUACAAUUUCAGUAAUAAUAGUGAACAGCAAGCUAUAAGAAGAAGUACAGAAAACAUGAUGGAAAUAAGCAAUCCUUCAAGAAAUAUCUGUCAACCAUCUAUUCUGAAUCAAGCCAAGGUUUAACUCCAGAAGAUAUUUGUCCUUUUCCUAAAGCUAAUCCACGGAAGAAUUCCCGACAAAUGGCAAAAAAAACGAAAGAUAGCUAUUCUUGCUAAUAUACAAAUAAAAGCAAAACUUGAGAAUAAAA